GAUGAACGCUGGCGGCGUGCCUAAUACAUGCAAGUCGAGCGAAGCGAGGGCGGGUGAGUAACACGUGGAUGACCUCCUAUAAGGAUGGGGUAACUUAGGGGAACCGGAUCUAAAUAGGAUACUUGUUGGUGGUGCCUCGCUGGAUUAGCUAGUUGCUAAGGUAACGGCGUACCAAGGCUACGAUGCAUAGCCGACCUGAGAGGGUGAUCGGCCACACUGUAACUGAGACACGGUCCAGACUCCUACGGUAGGCAGCAGUAGGGAAUCUUCCGCAAUGGGCGAAAGCCUGACGCAGCCACGCCGCGUGUGUGAGGAAGGUCUUCGGAUCGUAAAGCUCUUUUAUUAGGGAAGCGGUACCUACUCAGAAAGCACCGGCUAACUACGUGCCAGCAGCCGCGGUAAUAC
rnacentral:rRNA from 1 species